CUGGAAGGUCCNUAAACCGAAAGGGGCUCUGCCCGCCCGAGGAUGGGCCGGCGGCCGAUUAGGUAGUUGGUGGGGUAACGGCCCACCAAGCCGAAGAUCGGUACGGGCCAUGAGAGUGGGAGCCCGGAGAUGGACACUGAGACACGGGUCCAGGCCCUACGGGGCGCAGCAGGCGCGAAACCUCCGCAAUGCGGGCAACCGCGACGGGGGGACCCCCAGUGCCGUGGCAACGCCACGGCUUUUCCGGAGUGUAAAAAGCUCCGGGAAUAAGGGCUGGGCAAGGCCGGUGGCAGCCGCCGCGGUAAUACCGGCGGCCCGAGUGGUGGCCGCUAUUAUUGGGCCUAAAGCGUCCGUAGCCGGGCCCGUAAGUCCCUGGCGAAAUCCCACGGCUCAACCGUGGGGCUUGCUGGGGAUACUGCGGGCCUUGGGACCGGGAGAGGCCGGGGGUACCCCUGGGGUAGGGGUGAAAUCCUAUAAUCCCAGGGGGACCGCCAGUGGCGAAGGCGCCCGGCUGGAACGGGUCCGACGGUGAGGGACGAAGGCCAGGGGAGCGAACCGGAUUAGAUACCCGGGUAGUCCUGGCUGUAAAGGAUGCGGGCUAGGUGUCGGGCGAGCUUCGAGCUCGCCCGGUGCCGAAGGGAAGCCGUUAAGC
rnacentral:rRNA from 1 species